rnacentral:lncRNA from 1 species
UUCCUUUAUGCAAGUCCUCAUGCACUUGUUUUGGCCUGGUUUGCCUCUUAUCAUGGCGCUCAAUAGAACAUACGUCUUCUAUCGUUUCAACUUCUGUUGCAGCACUAUGGGCUUUGCCUUGCUUUCUUUGUGUUUUCUAGUUGAUCAUAUAAUUUAUUAUGCUCAGAUUAAGCAAAGCUUGCAGCUGAUGUUAUUCUUCCCUUAUUGUCUUUGCGAUAGAACUUCCCGAGCAGCUUGGAGCACUUGCAGGAGAAAAUUCAUAACUUGUUGUAUGAGCACCUGAAUAGUAAAUUCUUUGUGGAGCUGGAACGCAGACUCGCGGAUCCUUGACAUAUUCGAAAAUCACGAUCACAUAGCUCAUAGACUUUUUCAGGUAAUCUUUUCAAGAUCAAGUUCUUAAUUCUAAUUUGUUGAUGGCUUCAGAUUCGCGCAUCGUCACGAGAAACUUAAUAAAUUUUUGAAGGGAUACCGAAAUCAUGAAUGGUUUGUGGAACUGGAAAGUAGACUCGUGGAGCUUCGAUAUAUCCAAAAAUCAUGAUCAGAAAGCUAAUAAUUUAUCCAGGUAAUGUUCUGAAAUUCAGAGUUAAGAUCCCGCUAUAUUGCAUCUCCAAAUUUGCGCGCGCUUACUAAAUAGCUUGUAUUUUGACGUAUGAAGAACGAAAUCAAGCAUUUCUUGAUCCUUUGAAGACUAAACUUCAAAGGCUACUUUUACACUAAAUAUUAGCACUUCAUCGUGUGCCGGUUUUUAUGAUUUCUUAAAAAGUUAGCUGC